GCUAACAUGCAGUCGAGCGAAACUUCGGUCUUACGGCGGACGGGUGAGUAACACGUGGGAACAUACCCUUCACUACGGAAUAGUCCCGGGAAACUGGGUUUAAUACCGUAUACGCCCUUCGGGGGAAAGAUUUGUCGGUGAAGGAUUGGCCCGCGUUGGAUUAGGUAGUUGGUGGGGUAAAGGCCUACCAAGCCUACGAUCCAUAGCUGGUUUGAGAGGAUGAUCAGCCACACUGGGACUGAGACACGGCCCAGACUCCUACGGGAGGCAGCAGUGGGGAAUCUUAGACAAUGGGGGCAACCCUGAUCUAGCCAUGCCGCGUGUGUGAUGAAGGCCUUAGGGUCGUAAAGCACUUUCGCCAGGGAUGAUAAUGACAGUACCUGGUAAAGAAACCCCGGCUAACUCCGUGCCAGCAGCCGCGGUAAUACGGAGGGGGUUAGCGUUGUUCGGAAUUACUGGGCGUAAAGCGCACGUAGGCGGACUACCCAGUCAGAGGUGAAAUCCCAGGGCUCAACCCUGGAACUGCCUUUGAUACUAGUAGUCUUGAGUUCGAGAGAGGUGAGUGGAAUUCCGAGUGUAGAGGUGAAAUUCGUAGAUAUUCGGAGGAACACCAGUGGCGAAGGCGGCUCACUGGCUCGAUACUGACGCUGAGGUGCGAAAGUGUGGGGAGCAAACAGGAUUAGAUACCCUGGUAGUCCACACCGUAAACGAUGAAUGCCAGACGUCGGGUAGCAUGCUGCUCGGUGUCACACCUAACGGAUUAAACAUUCCGCCUGGGGAGCUAACAUGCAAGAUU
rnacentral:rRNA from 1 species